UAAGGCACGCCUGCCCAGUGAAUAAUUAAACGGCCGCGGUACCCUAACCGUGCAAAGGUAGCGUAAUCAUUUGUCUACUAAUUAUAGACCUGUAUGAAAGGCAAAAUGAGGAUUUAACUGUCUCUUAUAAUAAAUCAAUUAAACUGAUCCCCUAGUAAAAAAGCUAGGAUAAUAACAUAAGACCAGAAGACCCUGUGAAGCUUAAAUCAAACUAUUAAACCAUAUAAUAACUACUUUCGGUUGGGGCGACCUUGGAAAAAAAAAGAACUUCCAAGACCCAGCACAGCUGAUAAUUGAACCAAGUUACUCCAGGGAUAACAGCGCAAUCUUCUUCAAGAGCCCAUAUCAAAAAGAAGGUUUACGACCUCGAUGUUGGAUCAGGACAUCCUAAUGGUGCAGCCGCUAUUAAGGGUUCGUUUGUUCAACGAUUAACAGUCCUACGUGAUCUGA
rnacentral:rRNA from 1 species